rnacentral:rRNA from 1 species
UACGAAGGGGGCUAGCGUUGUUCGGAAUUACUGGGCGUAAAGGGCGCGUAGGCGGCCAACUAAGUCAGACGUGAAAUCCCUCGGCUUAACCGGGGAACUGCAUCUGAUACUGGAUGGCUUGAGAUUGGGAGAGGGAUGCGGAAUUCCAGGUGUAGCGGUGAAAUGCGUAGAUACCUGGAGGAACACCGGUGGCGAAGGCGGCAUCCUGGACCAACACUGACGCUGAGGAGCGAAAGCCAGGGGAGCAA